rnacentral:tRNA from 1 species
ACGGUGAUCCGGACGGUGAUCCGGACGGCGAUCCGGACGCCGCGGGCGCCGGGUUCCGGUCCCGGUCACCGUCC